CGGGGUGUAGCGCAGCCUGGUAGCGCACUUGGUUUGGGACCAAGGUGUCGCUGGUUCAAAUCCAGUCACCCCGACCA
rnacentral:tRNA from 1 species